UCUCCAAAUUUAUGUGUAUGGACUAAAAAAGCCUCCACCCUCCCCAGGGGCGACUCCUCAAGAAACCUCUCCCCCAACGAGAGCCUCGCCUUCACCGUGCUUGUGCAUACAGAUUUUGAUUUUCUCACUUCGCCGUCGCCGUUCUUGGACAGAAUCGUGAAGCUUCACAUUCUGCAACACAAAUUAAUUAUGUAGAGUUGAGUGCAGUGGGGAAUUCAUCACUCAGCACAUUGCUUACUGUCUCUCAUCUCCAGAUUGCUAAUUUCUCAACAACUUUGGUUGUAAAUGGAGUCCAGAUUACCAGGCCCAACGCCCCCCUCUCAAUCCGAGUCUAGAAAAUCAUGAGCGUUGCGGGCUGAAAGCCGCGUCCUCCGGCGACAAUAGUUAGGCAGAAUGAAUCUUCGUGCAGCAAGAGGGGAAAUGAAAAUGACUGUGGCAAAAAGGUAAUCCCAGCUUGAAAAACCACCUCAUCAUCCUCGAGAAUUCAAUUUUGCCCAUUUGCCUAACCUGUAUCUUGGGCUUUCAAGAAUUAAGUAGAAGAAACUGAACAUCAGAUACUACCCAGAAUUGGGCCUAAUUCUUUGGUAUAUCCUAGAAACUGAAUCUAUUUAGAAUUACUGAGAAGCAAAUAUUAAUAUCCAAAAAUCUGGGCGUCCAGACUCGUAUAUAUAGAGGUGCAGGAUGCAUGAUUUUCCCCCUCUUCCAACAAAUCCCACAAACACAAUUUCUUCGCAUCUUUGAAUCUCACACUACUUGGUCUUGGCGUCAUGGACUUGAGGCUUUUUGUCGACUCGAUCCGGAGAUGGAAGCAGCCGAUGCAGAGAAGAAGAGGCUCGCAAACUCAACUGCAAAACUCCGAGAGCGUAUAGCGAGGGACGAGAUUCUGCUACAGGAGGCGGAAUUACAACUGAAAAGGGAACGGAAGAAGGAAAAAGCUUUGGAGAAACGUCUGGCAAAGUGUCGAAAAAAUUGGAAGGAAAGCCGGUUUUUGUGACAGGUCAAGUGGACAUUGACCUUCUUGCUACUGAAUGGUUGAAUCUUAACGUCCAAAUCCUCACAGAUCGCCAGGAGAUACUUUAAUCGGCGAGGAAGAAUGGCUUCCAGUGUGAUCUAAUCCCUCCGCCGGCAAUUGCACUCUGAAGUAGGUGUGCAAUGUAGAUGUAGCCAGUGGAAGAGUUGGGGACGUUGUUGAAGUUUUUUUUUCGAUCGGUUCUUUUUGUAAAAAAAAUUCUUGAUAUUUGGUAACCAUUCAAAGGCCAAAAGCCUAAACCAUUGACAAGAAAUAUGUUUUGCAUCGUAAAAUGUUAGUAGAAUAUUGGUCGCA